CCUACGGGAGGCAGCAGUGGGGAAUCUUGCGCAAUGGGCGAAAGCCUGACGCAGCAACGCCGCGUGCGGGAAGAAGGCUUUCGGGCUGUAAACCGCUUUCAGCAGGAACGAAAAUGACGGUACCUGCAGAAGAAGGAGCGGCCAACUAUGUGCCAGCAGCCGCGGUGAUACAUAGGCUUCAAGCGUUGUCCGGAUUUAUUGGGCGUAAAGAGUUCGUAGGCGGUCGAGUAAGUCGGGUGUGAAAAUUCUGGGCUCAACCCAGAGACGCCACCCGAUACUGCUUGACUUGAGUUCGAUAGGGGAGUGGGGAAUUCCUAGUGUAGCGGUGAAAUGCGCAGAUAUUAGGAGGAACACCGGUGGCGAAGGCGCCACUCUGGAUCGAUACUGACGCUGAGGAACGAAAGCAUGGGUAGCAAACAGGAUUAGAUACCCUGGUAGUCCAUGCCGUAAACGGUGGGCACUAGGUGUGGGUUUCUAUUAACGAAAUCCGCGCCGUCGCUAACGCAUUAAGUGCCCCGCCUGGGGAGGUACGGUCGCAGACUAAACUACAAGAAGUAGACGGCGNGAGACGNGCCGACGGACGACGACGAGGGAGGUAGG
rnacentral:rRNA from 1 species